rnacentral:misc_RNA from 1 species
GAUGAAGAACGCAGCGAAAUGCGAUACGUAAUGUGAAUUGCAGAUUUCAGUGAAUCAUCGAAUCUUUGAGCGCACAUUGCGCCCGCUAGUAUUCUGGCGGGCAUGCCUGUUCGAGCGUCAUUUCAACCAUCAAGCCCCCGGCUUGCGUUGGAGCCCUGCGGCUGCCGCAGGCUCCCAAAUCCAGUGGCGGGCUCGUCGUCGUACCGAGUGCAGUAAACAUCCUCGCUCAGGGAACGUGACGGGUUCUUGCCGUGAAACCCCCCACAUAUCAAGGUUGACCUCGGAGCAGGUAGGAAUACCCGCUGAACUUAAGCAUAUCAAUAAGCGGAGGA